rnacentral:rRNA from 1 species
AGGACGAACGCUGGCGGCGUGCUUAACACAUGCAAGUCGAGCGGAAAGGCCCUUCGGGGUACUCGAGCGGCGAACGGGUGAGUAACACGUGAGCAACCUGCCCUUAGCUCCGGGAUAGCUCCGGGAAACCGGAAUUAAUACCGGAUACAACCACGGCCGACAUCUGCCGUGGUGGAAAGGAUUCCGGCUAAGGAUGGGCUCGCGGCCUAUCAGCUAGUUGGUGGAGUAACGGCCCACCAAGGCGACGACGGGUAGCCGGCCUGAGAGGGCGACCGGCCACACUGGGACUGAGACACGGCCCAGACUCCUACGGGAGGCAGCAGUGGGGAAUAUUGCGCAAUGGGCGAAAGCCUGACGCAGCGACGCCGCGUGGGGGAUGAAGGCCUUCGGGUUGUAAACCCCUUUCAGCAGGGACGAAGCGAAAGUGACGGUACCUGCAGAAGAAGCGCCGGCUAACUACGUGCCAGCAGCCGC